UAGGGAACCUUCGGCAAUGGGGGGAACCCUGACCGAGCAACGCCGCGUGAGUGAAGAAGGUUUUCGGAUCGUAAAGCUCUGUUGUUAAGGAAGAACGAGUGUGAGAAUGGAAAGUUCAUACUGUGACGGUACUUAACCAGAAAGGGACGGCUAACUACGUGCCAGCAGCCGCGGUAAUACGUAGGUCCCGAGCGUUGUCCGGAUUUAUUGGGCGUAAAGCGAGCGCAGGCGGUUAGAUAAGUCUGAAGUUAAAGGCAGUGGCUCAACCAUUGUAGGCUUUGGAAACUGUUUAACUUGAGUGCAGAAGGGGAGAGUGGAAUUCCAUGUGUAGCGGUGAAAUGCGUAGAUAUAUGGAGGAACACCAGUGGCGAAGGCGACUCUCUGGUCUGUAACUGACGCUGAGGCUCGAAAGCGUGGGUAGCAAACAGG
rnacentral:rRNA from 1 species